rnacentral:rRNA from 1 species
GCAACUCGCCUGUAUGAAGUCGGAAUUGCUAGUAAUCGUGGAUCAGCAUGCCACGGUGAAUACGUUCCCGGGCCUUGUACACACCGCCCGUCACACCAUGAGAGCCGGGAACACCCGAAGUCCGUAGUCUAACCUAUAUGGAGGACGCGGCCGAAGGUGGGUUUGGUAAUUGGGGUGAAGUCGUAACAAGGUAUC